rnacentral:rRNA from 1 species
UACGUAGGUGGCAAGCGUUGUCCGGAUUUACUGGGCGUAAAGAGCGCGCAGGCGGUCGUUCAAGUCGCGUGUGAAAGCCCCCGGCUCAACUGGGGAGGGUCACGCGAUACUGAUCGACUCGAAGGCAGGAGAGGGUAGUGGAAUUCCCGGUGUAGUGGUGAAAUGCGUAGAUAUCGGGAGGAAUACCAGUGGCGAAGGCGGCUUCCUGGCCUGUUCUUGACGCUGAGGAGCGAAAGCGUGGGGAGCGAACAGG